UGAACAUAAUUGGUCAUCGAUGAAUUUGAGUAAACUUCUUCUCUCUUGUGUUCUUCUUCUUUCAAUAAUCGAUCAAACACUUUGAUACGUAACAAUGGUAUCAGAGCUCUCAAUCCUUUCGACUGUGGGUUAGAUAAUAACAAAUUGAACAUGAAGGUGGCACAAUUGGGCGGCAACAACAACAAGCAGCAGCGAUCAACAGAGGUUUUCAACAUCAAAUUAGGGCAAUGACAUAAAACAAUCAUAGCAGAUUUCAACAAGCAACAAUCGAUUCAACAACCAGGCGAUUCAACAAGUGGUUUAUCUUUGGGAAUUAGGGCAACGCAGCAACAAGAUUCAAGUACCGUUGCAAUUCAAAGUUGUUCAUCUGAGAAAUCAACAAACGAGGUGCAAUGGAACAGUUAAUGGCAUAUAACCAAGAAGAUGUGGUUUAGAACUGGAAAUUAGGAAAAUCUUUGCUAGAUGGCAUCAAUAUAGCUGCACUAAGGUGGAAGAUGUGAUUUCAUUGGCUUUGAAAAUUGAUUCUAAUGGCUUGCAAGAUUCUUUUUCUCCAUUUGAUUCUAACUCUUCUUUUUAUAACAAAGAUUUGGAGUUUGAUAUUAACAUCACUCUUGAGGAAUUGAUGAAAGAUAAUGAGUUGUUUCGAAAUGGAAAGAUUCAAGAAACUUGUGAUAAUAUUGUUCAAGAAACGAUUGUAGAUGAAGUGAUUGAUUAUGUGCAUAAAACAAUUGAAGGUGAAUCCAUUCAAGAUGAGUAUAGUAAAGAAAAGUUGUAUGGUGAAAUGUUCAAAGGGGUUGGGAAUAUGAUUUAAGAAUCAUUGGAUAGUGAUGAUUUAAAGAAAAUGGAAAAAACAAUUGAAAUAAGUCAACAACCAGAAAGGGAUUCUUUGUUUGAUGGGUUCCUAAACUCUUCGUUUCUUUAUAAAGAAGAUUAUGGGCUUUUGCUAUUAGGUGGUGAGACUAUAGGUUGGAGGUUAUUUGAUAUAACUGAGGUUCCAAAGAAGGUUCCACCAGAUAGACCUCUAGUUCUUCAGUGGUAUAAACUAAAAGGUGGGAAAGGAGAGAAUAGUGAUGUUAGUGGUAUUAAUACCGAUGUUAGUGAUUGUAUGAAAAGCUGGUUAGUUAAGUGGAAAUAUAAAUUCGAUGGUAUUAGGGAGGAAGAUAUGGAUACGGCUAUAUGCAAAUAUCAAUAUGUUUUUAUGAAAAAGAUGAGUAAAUUUUCGGUUGUUGUACAUACAACUGCUGAAGUAUUUGUAGAAUGGUUGGAUAGUUAUAAAAAAUAAAUUCAAAGAGGUGAAGGAUCAAGUUAAAGUUGAAGAUAAUAAGGAGAUCAAGAUUUGGUAUGGAAACUUGAGUUCUAUGAAUGAGAUGAAUCAGAAUAUACGUUCCCUAUUUUGUGGUAUUUUUCUUGCUGCCACGUUUUUAAAAGAAAAGUUGCCAUCACAUGGUGUAAAAGUGCGAUUGACAAUAAAUUCUUUUGAGGUCUACAACAAACCCAGUUGCAAUUUUAACAAUGAUACGAGGAGUCUCCUAUGGUAUGCAAUUUUAUCCAAUGGAUACGGCUAUAUGCAAAUAUCAAUAUGUUGAUCUCAAAAUUUGGUCAUUUAUUUUGAGAAAUUACGCAUAUCUUCUCAACUGUUUGCUCAACAUUAAAUUUUUUGUUAACUUUUUAUGAAA